GCAUGAACUUGAUUAGCCUCCUUCACAACCAACGUACUUAUACUCUUUGUGAAUAUAGACUAAUAGUAUAUAAUAGAAAAGAUGCCAUUAUUGACCAUUGAUCUAUAUAGGUGUGGCCAUCAUUAUAGAUGAAUAGCAUACAUGGUUCCGAUGAUCCGAGCCCUGCACCUCCAGGGAAGCUGUGCCUAGCCCAAUUGAAGUGGACUCUGCUGUGUGGGUAGUGUGCAUGUAGAUCUAAACUUGGAUCCUGUUAAAGAUAUUGAACACACUGAAGAAAUCCAUGCCACCCCAAGACGACGGUGUCAAUGUGGAGAAUACUGUCAUAUUCGUUGUAAUAAAUGUCCCUCCUGUAAGGCCGUUUUUCCACCUUCCAAUAAGAAACUGGCUGUAGGAGAGCCAAGAAAGUAUCCUGCGGAUCUAUUGGCACAACUUCACAAAAAAGGCAAACCAGUUGCACCAACUUGGAUAUGAUGUCUUUAUCGUUACGCAUAGGUAUUCCAAAGUACACACUUAUCAAAGAAUCACUACACCUGCAUGGUGCAGCUAAGGAGUUCAGUCAUAAAUAUGAAAACGUUUUUCAAUUGUGGAAGUCUUACAUGAAUGUGGAACCCAAUACUACCCUAACUAACAGUUCCACCCUCUCUACUAGCCCUAACAGUCAGCCUGCUGCCGACUCUAACAGUGCCCCGACACAGGAAAAUGUUCCCAUCAACACUAACAGUUCCACCCCAGGGGCGGAUCCAGGAUUUAAGGAAGGGGGGUUCUUAUAGUACUUCUUGUCCGCACAAAGCGCGGGAGAGAUGGUUGUGACUGGAGGAGAGAUAGUAGUGGUCCCCAGUGGAAAGACAGACGGUGGUGGCUGGUGAAGAGGAGACUUGGCUAUAUAUAUAGACUUGUAGAACUUGACCAUCAAUAUAUUAAUGAGGGCAAUUAUACAUGUAACUGUAAGUAUGCAGUGUCAUUCAAUAUGCAGUGUCAUGCACUCUCCCUUACCUGAAACUUUCCUCUUCUUACACCAGGAGUCAAGGAUUCAUGGCUAGAUAUAAUAAUAUUAUCGCUUGACCACGGUGCAAAUCAAUGUGGCUGCAGUAGCCAGCCCCACCCUCUUGUUAUGUAGAGAGAACCAGCCCCACCCUUUUAUUAUGCAAAGAGAACCAGCCCCACCCUUUUAUUAAGCAGAGAGCUUUGUACGACUUUGUCACGACAGUACAGUUAGUUAGCUAGCUAGCUAAUAUAUACUAGCUGGAAGGGUAGUUCGUACAAACCCAACGAACUACCUCUGGAUCCCCCCCUGCACCCUCUCUACUAGCCCUACCAGCUGCAGUCAGCCUGCUGCUGCUGUCUCUAACAGUGUCCCGACACAGGCAACAGUUACUGUCUUCACUACCACCCUAACUGAUAGAAAGAAACGUCGUCGUUGCGGUGUCUGCGAUGGGUGCCGACAUCCUAAUUGUGCAUGGUACAUGCCCAAUAUGCUUAAAUCAGAAAUGGAAAAAGGCAUGUUU